UACAGAGGGGGCAAGCGUUGUUCGGAAUUACUGGGCGUAAAGGGCGCGUAGGCGGCCUGUUAAGUCGAACGUGAAAUCCCCCGGGCUCAACCCGGGAACUGCGUCCGAUACUGGCAGGCUUGAAUCCGGGAGAGGGGAUGCGGAAUUCCAGGUGUAGCGGUGAAAUGCGUAGAUAUCUGGAGGAACACCGGUGGCGAAGGCGGCAUCCUGGACCGGCAUUGACGCUGAGGCGCGAAAGCCAGGGGGAGCAAAACGGGGA
rnacentral:rRNA from 1 species